ACCUCGACGCUGCGAUCCGUCGUGUACUUUCCGACGGGACACGCGUACAAGACUAGCUCGAGUAAUUCCGAGCUUACUGAGCUAACCAGCUAUAGAGAUGGACGAUGAGCUAGCAAGCAGGCUAGGAGGUGGAUGGAUUUCCACGUACUACCACAUGCAUGCACAAAAGAACCAGCCGGCGACGUUCGAUCGAUACACACACGAGAACACGAGAUUGAUGGCUAAUAGGACCGUGUCGGUCCUAUGUGUUUGUAUUACUUUUUCUUCUUGGUACAAAGUACAGGGGUAUACAUGAGUAUAUAUAUUAGCUAGCUAGG
rnacentral:lncRNA from 1 species